GGCCCCGCCUCCGGCUCUCCGGCCGGCAGGUUGGCUGUCCUGGCCUGACCCUGGGAGACUCCGCUGGGGCCGCCUGUUAUGGUGCUAGCUGCCGUCCCGGUGCGUACUUUCCCAAGGUGAAUUUGACCUUCUUUGCGACAGCUAGGCCCUGACUAAGGUCGACCCACCAAACACUGGAUCGUCCCCAGGCGAAAGAGAGCUUGUUCCCCUCAGCCUGUCGCGGAGGAGCGGAGCCAAUCGAGGGUCUGGUGUCCCCGUCGCCUCUCCAGGGGCAACCUGCGGACUAGGCCAAGGUCUGUAACAGGAUAACGUACCAGCGCCUGGCCCAGGCGUUCCUGCCGCCACCUCCCCGCAUAUCCGGACCGCCGGGACUGCACGCAGCUGGCAAGCGUCCCCCUGUUAACUCUGCAAGGGUGGGGCGGCACCAUUUCUCAGACCAGGUUGCAAUAAAUUACCAGAAACGACUGGUUCAUACCUUAUACACCUCCAGUGUAAAUGUUAAGAGUUUGUAUAUUCUUAACAGACUCUUAACAAACAUCAGUAAUUCUUUCCUAGGGAUAAGUGAAAAUGUACUAACAUUAAUUCUAUUAUAUAUAUGCAAAUAUCUAGAGGAAAUACUGUUUAUAAGUUACUAAUACAUGUAUCCAUGGUAGUAGGUCUUGAAAAGUUACUUUUGUUGCCUAUUGGACACCCUCUAUUCUCCCUUCCUUAAUAAAACAAAAAAAAGAACAAACAAAAUUCUGUAGCAUCACUUCUCAACCAAGCUUUCUGAUAGGAAGUCCUCAGUCCAAUCUCAUUUUUGGCCUACUGUGCAUUUCUUACUUAACUUGCAAACAGAUCAUUAACAAGGACCUCCAAAUUACAGUAAAUUACAGUACUAAGAUUUUACUUGAACUUUCUAAAGCAUUCGCCAUUUUAAAUUAUUUAACUUUUAUACUCCUCCUUCCCUUUUGUGCUGUUUCCUUCCUGGCGCUCCUAAAUAUCUGUCCAUUCUUUGGACCUCUUCCAAAUUUUCAGAUAAUUAUAAUAGUGUGCGAAUGAUGCAAAGGUAAUGUGCCGUGGGAGAGAACAGAAGAGAGAAACCUAAUUCUGGCCUCAUCACAUUAUUGUUUUUUUAAAUUUAAUAACUAUUUUAGAUGCUUCAGUAGAUUUACAGUGAGGGCAAAAGAAAACAGUUUUCUUUAGGAGUAUGGAGGGAUUAUAUAGGAUGUACAAUAAAUACCCUAAGUACUUCAAAUCAGUUCAGAUCUUUAAAAUCCUAUUUUUCCUUCAGUUCUCAACUUCAAUAUCACCUACUCUGGGAGUCAUUCCCUACCAUGCUUGUUUGUUUGUUUGUUUGUUUGUUUGUUUGUUUUGAGACAGAGUCUCACUCUGUUGCCCAAGCUGGAGUGCAGUGACACCAUCUCUGCUCACCGCAGCCUCUACCUCCCAGGUUCAAACGAUUCUCUUGUCUCAGCCUCCCUAGUAACUGGGAUUACAGGCACUUGCCACCACUCCCGGCUACUUUUCAUACUUUUAUUAGAUGGGGUUUCACCGUGUUGGCCAGGCUGGUCUCGAACUCCUGAUCUCAAGUGAUCCACCCGCUUCAGCCUCCCCCACAGUGCUGGGAUUACAGGAGUGAGCCACAGCACCUGGCCACAUGCUUGUAAUUUCUUUAGAUUCUCACAUUGUAUCUUUCAGUGUCAUCUAACAUGCUGACUAUAAGCUCCUUUUUAAAAGAUGUACUGUACCUGGUAUAUAAUGGUAUGCACUCAACAAACAUUUGACAGUACCCCACAACUUGUUCAGGCCCUCAAUUUAUACCUGAAUUGACCUCCUAUCCAUCUCCAUUAUUUACUCCAUCCAAGACCAGUCUAAUCAAAUCUCUUCCCUGCCUAACAACUUUCAUUGGUUUUGUUUUGUAUACUAGAUACAAUUUAAACUUUUUUUUUUUUGAGAUGGAGUCUCUCUCUGUCACCCAGGCUGGAGUUCAGUGGCGCGAUCUUGGCUCACUGCAAGCUCCACCGCCUGGGUUCACACCAUUCACCUGCCUCAGCCUCCCAAGUAGCUGGGACUACAGGCGCCUACCACCACGCCCGGCUAAUUUUUUGUAUUUUUUGUAGAGACGGGGUUUCACCAUGUUAGGCAGGAUGGUCUCGAUCUCCUGACCUCGUGAUCCGCCCGUCUUGGCCUCCCAAAGUGCUGGGAUUACAGGCAUGAGCCACUGUGCCCGGCCCUGGGCAUGGGUAAACUUCUUAACCUAGCAUGAAAGUCUCUCCAUGAUAAGGUAUCAACCCAUCUCUCCAGUGUAUCUCCCAGCACUUUUCUCCCCUUUAUAUGUGCUCUAUAUGAGUUUCCUCAUCCAGGAAUGUUCUUCCCCACUUGUUCACCUUUAAAGUCAUCCCUUAAAACACAGCUUGGAUGUUAGCAGCUUCUAACUUCUAGAGUUUCCACUCUUCUAUUAAGCUUUGCUCUGUAUCUCACAACUGUAAAUUUUUCUCUCCCCUCUUAGUCUGUGAAACUCUUAAGAUUAAGAACUAUGCAUUAUUAAUUUUUAAAUUCCUGGAACUUUAUGGAGAGCUUGGCAGUCAGCAAUUAAUACAAGAUUUGCUGUAUGUAAUACAUUCUGCAAAUUUUUAUAUUUAUAUUGAUGGUUGACUAGAAAGUUACUGUGGAAAAUUCCUGCCAUCAAAUAUCUCAUAGGCUUGUAAAGGGGACCAUUCAAAACAAUUGCAGUAACAAAGGCAGGGUGCAGUGGCUCACGCCUGUAAUACCAGCUGAGGUGGGCAGAUUGCUUGAGCUCAGGAAUUUGAGACCAGCCUGGACAACAUGGUGAAACCCUGUCUCUAGUAAAAAUACAAAAAUUAGCCAGGCAUGGUGGCGCCCAACUGUAGUCCCAGAUACUCAGGAGACUAAUGUGGGAGAAUCAAUUGAACCUGGGGACGGAGGUUGCCAUGAGCCAAGAUCAUGCCACUGCACUCCAGCCUGGGAGACAGAAUGAGACUCCAUCUCAAAAAAGAAGAAUAAUAAUAAUUGCAGGCUGGGUGCAGUGGCUCACGCCUCAUGCCUGUAAUCCCAACACUUUGGGAGGCUGAGGCGGGUGGAUCACCUGAGGUCAGGAGUUCGAGACCAGCCUGACCAACAUGGAGAAACCCCGUCUCUACUAAAAAUACAACAUUAGCCAGUGGCGCAUGCCUGUAAUCCCAGAUACUCAGUAGGCUGAGACAGGAGAAUCACUUGAACCCAGGAGGCGGAGGUCGCAGUGAGCCGAGAUCGCACCAUUGCAUUCCAGCCUGGGCAACAAGAGCGAAACUCCGUCUCAAAAAAAGAAAAAAAAAAUAAAUAUAAUUGCAGUAACAAAUUUAUAUGAUAUUAAUUCUUUACCAAAGUACAUUCAGUUUAUUGGGAAGAUCAUGGUAAACAUCUUAAUUUUGUCAACUCUGCCUGAGGCAUUCAGCACAUGUAUUAAAUAUUUCUCAAACAACUUAGUGUCAUUACCCUAAUUUUCUUUUAGGCAAUGUUCAAACAACCAGCAACCACAAUUCACAUAAUUUGGCUUUAUUCAAAGUAUGAGGCACAAUUAUUGUUCAUUUUUAAAAGGGUUAAAAAGAUGUACGUUUUGGACUUUGUUUUUAAAACCAUAACUAAUUUGGUGUAUAUGAUUAUGUACUAUUUAGAGGCUGCUGGCACUAUGAUGAUUAAGUUAAUGUUUUCAGUACUGCUUAUAGACCUGAAAGCUGCCCUUCUCAGCUGGUUUGUGGGUACUCAAACAUACUAAUAAUGAUGAUGGCUAACUUAGGAAUGACCAUCUUCAAAGCUAGUGAUGACUUGAUGAGCUCAUAAGCAACACUGUUUCCAAUGCUGCAGCAACAUAGUCAAGAAAACACUUCUAGAAUGCUUAAUUUCCUGAAAGAUUUAAACCAAUAGAUUAAGACAAAACAUUUGUAGUCAUUUUUCAGAUUGAAAGAGAUAUCUUUUUGCAUCAUGUUUUAUUAGGUUCUUGUCUUUCAUUAUUUUGAAGAGCUGCCUAGCAAAGUGUCCAAAAAUAGAGCUGGCACUGUUUAUAAAAUGCCUUAAGGCAGAAGUUAAUCAGUCAUGUAGACACAGAUACAGAACUGAUUCAAAUGUCAAGUGGUAGUUGGACUUCAGGUGGUGACUUUCUAACUUUUACUGUGAUCCACAUUAAGAAAUACAGUUUCACAUUGUGACCUGGUAUACAUACACAGGAAAAAGUACUUGCUGCUUGUGAUAUACUCUGAUACCUUCUAUUGUUUUUUUUUCCUCUUGCUAGUCUUACACAUUACAUCGAUUUUACUAUCAUCCAAUGGUUUCAGAGAUAUUAGAUUCAAUGACUUAGGCCCCAAACCUUGAGAUUCUUUGUUCCUGAUUUUUCUGUCAGUGCCUUCCUAUUUCUGUCAGUGCCUCAGUAGUGUUUAUAAAUAAAUGCUUCUUUUUUUUUUUU
rnacentral:lncRNA from 1 species